UACGUAGGGACCAAGCGUUGUUCGGAUUUACUGGGCGUAAAGGGCGCGUAGGCGGCGUGUUAAGUCAGCUGUGAAAUCUCCGAGCUUAACUCGGAACGGUCAGCUGAUACUGAUGUGCUAGAGUGCAGAAGGGGCAAUCGGAAUUCUUGGUGUAGCGGUGGAAUGCGCAGAUAUCAGGAGGAACACCGAUGGCGAAGGCAGGUCUCUGGGCACUUACUGACGCUGAGGAGCGAAAGCGUGGGGAGCGAACAGG
rnacentral:rRNA from 1 species